AAGGAUAUAGCGCAGCUUGGUAGCGCCCUUGUUUUGGGGUCAAAAAUUUGACGGGUUCCAAUCCUGUCAUCCCUACC
rnacentral:tRNA from 1 species